CCCCUGCUGUGGACAGCUAUUCCAUCUAAGUCCCCCCCAUUGCAACAGCCGGCAGGGAAUCGCCAGUGACCAAGUACCGUAUAUACUCGAGUAUAAGCCGACCCGAAUAUAAGCCGAGGCCCCUAAUUUUACCCCCAAAAAACUGGGAAAACUUACUGACUCGAGUAUGACUAGAGUGGGAAAUGCAGCAGCUACUAGUAAAUUCAGAAAUAAAAUUAGAUCCUAAAAAAAUUAUAUUAAUUGAAUAUUUACACUGUGUAUAUGAUGAAUGCGCAGUGUGUGUGUUGCCUAGCCUUGGUGGGGGGGGUGGGCAUUUUUAUAAAAGUUAUUUUUUUGUAUUUUUAUUUUUCGUCCCCCCUCCCUGCUUGAUACAUGGCAGGGAGGGGGGGCUCUCCUUCCCUGGUGGUCCAGUGGCAUUGGCAGUUCAGUGGGGGGGAAGGAGGGGGGCUGGCAGAGCUGUUACUU